GAUGAAGAACGUAGCGAAAUGCGAUAACUAAUGUGAAUUGCAGAAUUCAGUGAAUCAUCGAGUCUUUGAACGCACAUUGCGCCCUCUGGUAUUCCGGAGGGCAUGCCUGUCCGAGCGUCAUUGCUGCCCUCCAGCCCGGCUGGUGUGUUGGGCCCCGUCCCCCUUCCCGGGGGGACGGGCCCGAAAGGCAGCGGCGGCACCGCGUCCGGUCCUCGAGCGUAUGGGGCUUUGUCACCCGCUCUUGUAGGCCCGGCCGGCGCCAGCCGACCCCCUCAAUCUAUUUUUCAGGUUGACCUCGGAUCAGGUAGGGAUACCCGCUGAACUUAAGCAUAUCAAUAAGCGGAGGA
rnacentral:misc_RNA from 1 species